GGAGGGUUGGCCGAGUGGCCCAAGGCAGCGGUUUGCUAAACCGUGCCCGUAGAAAUGCGGGCCGUGGGUUCGAAUCCCACACCCUCCG
rfam:Candidate division WWE3 bacterium GW2011_GWA2_44_16 TW36_C0007, whole genome shotgun sequence.